rnacentral:rRNA from 1 species
GCAUAUCAAUAAGCGGAGGAAAAGAAACUAACAAGGAUUCCCCUAGUAACUGCGAGUGAAGCGGGAUGAGCUCAAAUUUAAAAUCUGGCGUCUUCGGCGUCCGAGUUGUAAUUUAGAGAAGCGUUUUCCGCGCCGGACCGUGUACAAGUCUCCUGGAACGGAGCGUCAUAGAGGGUGAGAAUCCCGUCUUUGACACGGACCCCCGGUGCUCUGUGAUACGCUCUCGAAGAGUCGAGUUGUUUGGGAAUGCAGCUCAAAAUGGGUGGUGAACUCCAUCUAAAGCUAAAUAUUGGCGAGAGACCGAUAGCGAACAAGUACCGUGAGGGAAAGAUGAAAAGCACUUUGGAAAGAGAGUGAAACAGUACGUGAAAUUGUUGAAAGGGAAACGCUUGAAGUCAGUCGCGUCCGCCAGGAUUCAGCCUCACGGUGUACUUUCUGGUGGACGGGCCAGCAUCACUUUCAAUCAUCGGACAAGGUCGAGAGGAAUGUGGCACCUUCGGGUGUGUUAUAGCCUCUUGUCGUAUACGGUGACUGGGAGUGAGGACCGCCUUUGUAGGAUGCUGGCGUAAUGGCUUUAAACGACCCGUCUUGAAACACGGACCAAGGAGUCUAACAUGCCCGCGAGUGUUCGGGUGGAAAACCCGUGCGCGUAAUGAAAGUGAAAGUUGGGAAGGCUGUCGCGGCCUGCACCGACGCCCGGACUUGAGAUUUAUCGAAGGUUCUGCGGUAGAGCGUGUAUGUUGGGACCCGAAAGAUGGUGAACUAUGCCUGAAUAGGGUGAAGCCAGAGGAAACUCUGGUGGAGGCUCGUAGCGAUUCUGACGUGCAAAUCGAUCGUCAAAUUUGGGUAUAGGGGCGAAAGACUAAUCGAACCAUCUAGUAGCUGGUUCCUGCCGA